rnacentral:misc_RNA from 1 species
GAAAUGCGAUAAGUAAUGUGAAUUGCAGAAUUCAGUGAAUCAUCGAAUCUUUGAACGCACAUUGCGCCUAUUAGUAUUCUAGUAGGCAUGCCUGUCCGAGCGUCAUUGCUGCCCUUCAAGCCCGGCUUGUGUGUUGGGUCGUCGUCCCCUCCGGGGGACGGGCCCGAAAGGCAGCGGCGGCACCGCGUCCGGUCCUCGAGCGUAUGGGGCUUUGUCACCCGCUCGAUAAGGACCGGCCGGGCGCCAGCCGGCGUCUCCAACCUUUUUUUCUCAGGUUGACCUCGGAUCAGGUAGGGAUACCCGCUGAACUUAAGC